UACGAAGGGGGGCUAGCGUUGUUCGGAAUUACUGGGCGUAAAGCGCGUGUAGGCGGGUCUUUUAAGUCAGGGGUGAAAUGCCAAGGCUCAACCUUGGAACUGCCUUUGAUACUGGAGACCUUGAGUCCGGGAGAGGCGAGUGGAAUUGCGAGUGUAGAGGUGAAAUUCGUAGAUAUUCGCAAGAACACCAGUGGCGAAGGCGGCUCACUGGCCCGGUACUGACGCUGAGGUGCGAAAGCGUGGGGAGCAAACAGG
rnacentral:rRNA from 1 species